rnacentral:rRNA from 1 species
AGGACGAACGCUGGCGGCGUGCUAACACAUGCAAGUCGAGCGGUAAGGCCCCUUCGGGAGUACACGAGCGGCGAACGGGUGAGUAACACGUGAGCAAUCUGCCCUUCUCAUCGGAAUAACCAUUGGAAACGAUGGCUAAUGCCGAAUAUGACCUCGGAUCACAUGUUCUGAGGUGGAAAGCUCCGGCGGAGAAGGAUGAGCUCGCGGCCUAUCAGCUUGUUGGUGAGGUAAUGGCUCACCAAGGCAUUGACGGGUA